AGCGAACGCUGGCGGCAGGCCUAAUACAUGCAAGUCGAACGCACCUUCGGGUGAGUGGCGGACGGGUGAGUAACGCGUGGGAACGUGCCCUAAGGUACGGAACAACUGAGGGAAACUUCAGCUAAUACCGUAUGUGCCCUUCGGGGAAAGAUUUAUCGCCUUAGGAGCGGCCCGCGUUGGAUUAGCUAGUUGGUGGGGUAAAGGCCCACCAAGGCUACGAUCCAUAGCUGGUCUGAGAGGAUGAUCAGCCACACUGGGACUGAGACACGGCCCAGACUCCUACGGGAGGCAGCAGUAGGGAAUCUUGCGCAAUGGGCGGAAAGCCUGACGCAGCCAUGCCGCGUGAGUGAUGAAGGCCUUAGGGUUGUAAAGCUCUUUCAGUAGGGAAGAUAAUGACGGUACCUACAGAAGAAGCCCCGGCUAACUUCGUGCCAGCCGCCGCCGUAAG
rnacentral:rRNA from 1 species